rnacentral:rRNA from 1 species
AGUGAACGCUGGCGGUAGGCCUAACACAUGCAAGUCGAACGGCAGCACAGUAAGAGCUUGCUCUUACGGGUGGCGAGUGGCGGACGGGUGAGGAAUACAUCGGAAUCUACUUUUUCGUGGGGGAUAACGUAGGGAAACUUACGCUAAUACCGCAUACGACCUACGGGUGAAAGCAGGGGAUCUUCGGACCUUGCGCGAUUGAAUGAGCCGAUGUCGGAUUAGCUAGUUGGCGGGGUAAAGGCCCACCAAGGCGACGAUCCGUUGCUGGUCUGAGAGGAUGAUCGGCGACACUGGAACUGGGACACGGUCCAGAGUCCUAAGGGAGGCAGCAGUGGGGAAUAUUGGACAAUAGGCGCAAGCCUGAUCCAGCCAUAGCGCGUGGGUGGAGAAGGCCUUGGGGUUGUAAAGCCCUUUUGUUGGGAAAGAAAAGCAGCAGGUUAAGACCCCGCUGUUCUGACGGUACCCAAAGAAUAAGCACCGGCUAACUUCGUG